rnacentral:lncRNA from 1 species
GGUGGGGGGGACACGCAAUGGCUCCUUCAAAGCAGAGUGAAGCCCUGGGAUGGGAGGUGGCCGUUGCCAGAGAUUGAGAUCAACGGUUUCUUGUGCUGCUUUCUAAUAAUUCCCCUUUGCUGUUGUCUAGAUGAAGAUCUCUUUCAAUGAGACAAGUUUGCAGACUAUGUUUGAGUACCCAUCAGAGAGCUCACUGGCAGAAGAGGAGGAGGAGGAAGAGGAUGGACAUGCCUCUGAAACAGAGGAGGACAAGUCUAGCACCUUUUACAUUCCACGCCCAAAUAGCACUUUGCAUCCCAGUACACCGAACUCAGCAGAUUUAUCCAGCUACACCCCAAAGCACUCCGUGAAGUUCAGCGAGUGGCAGGAGCAGAAGUAUGAGGAGAUGCCUGCUGCAGAGGGAGCCCUUCCAAAGGAAGCCGAUACCCAUGGGAGCCAAGUCAUGGUGAGACUUGAAAUAAGCAGGUUUUGGCUUUGUCCUGCUGUGUGGUUGUCCCAGUGCUCGGGCUGGUCUGGGCAGGGGAUGGGAUGGGGUGGAUGUGUCCUCCACUGACCCCCUGUGUGUAUUCGCUGCCCAGGGAGGUGUGCCACCAUGCACAAAGGGACAUGAGGUCCCAGUGUCACUUGCAGAUCUGCCUCUCCACGUGUGUGUAAAGGAGACAUAAGGCAGAUGGCAGGCUUUGUACUCCAGGGCAUGUUUGGAGGGGGGAAUUAAACGUGCUCGUUAGCCCCGGGCGAGGCGCCAGCUCAGCCUUCACCGUCCAAAGGUGUGGGUGCUCAUUCCCUUCGGGUUUGAUGACGCCUCCGUGUCAACUCUGCUUUCUCCACAGCUCACCCCAGCAGAGAAGGGCGGACUCUCCGAUUUCAGCAGCGAGCCUGCUCUGUAUUUUUGAUGGCUUCGUCUCCUGCCCUGCAGCAGCGGCUGCUGGACGGAACGCGUCAGUGCACCAGCCGAACGCCCAGGCAAGCGCCGCCGAACGAGCUUCUGGGUCCCUCCCUCACCAUGGUUUUCGCUGGAUCCCGAUGCCAAGGGUGGACUAGAUGCUGUCAGACAUCCUCGGAGAAUAUUUGCACUGGAUUCUGGGACCUAACUACUACUUUUAUAAGUCGUAUGAUUUAUUCUACCUGUGGCCUUGCAUAUUCCUUGUUCAAGAUCAGCUGCCGAUGAGGCAGAGCAUCUUAAGAGCAGAUCUGUAGUCCCGGGAUGGAUGUGGAUUCUCCCAGUGUUUAUCUGAGUCCACACAUCCUGGCACUGUAUGGGGUCUGGAUGGCUUUUGUGACACCUCUCCCAUGGGAGGCCCCAGUGAAGAACGGUUCUGGAGUUGGAGCUGGAGUCACAGGGGCGGCUGUGAUUUGGCAGCUGGAUUGGGUGUCAGGUUGGAAAACCAUUGAAGAUUCAUGGUUUGUUCUUGGCACCUUUCUGGGUCUAGUUUCACUGAACCAUCAUGGGAUUCACGUGCCAGUUCUGCUGCUGUGAAGGAACCUGAACACAGGGUGAGGGAUGGGAAGUGGAAUGAAUGCCUUUAGCUUUAGGGGUCAGUUUUGCACUGAUCUGUACAGAAGUGUCCAGACUGGCCUGAGUCUCUUGAAGAUUCCCAAACAUUGGCCAUACCCAGCUCUGGCCUCCGGUCUCUAGGAACUGGUGAUUGUGCUCCAGUUUGUCAGUGCCUCUGGUUGCUUUGUCCAGCAUCUAAUGGGGUCAGAUUUAACUCCCUUGGUCGGGGGGGGGGGGGGGUUUCCUUCGAGCCAUGCUUCCUCCGCUCCUCUAAUGCAAAGCACAGGAGGGCAAUUCAACUGCUUUCUUCUGCAGAACUUGAACAAGGAAUAUGUUUGUUGUUUUUUUUUUCCUAGGAUUUUUAUAGUUCUAUUGUAAUUGUUUAAUGCAGCCAAUAUGCAAAGGAAUCUGCUAGACUCUUCCAUUUCAGUUUUCUACUACUGUAAACUCAGGGUCAAACUUGCACUCUGGCAGAGAUGGAACACUGCUGCUAAUGUGAUUUGUACUUCUGGGAUUAAAAGAGAUGUGGUUGGAAUAGAUACGGCCUCUUUGGGCUUUAUGAAAUGAGUGGGACCCCAGUGUGUGGCUCCAUCCAAAGGCACAGGCUGGUAUCUUUGAUUAAAUUUGAUAGGUUUAUUGGUUUGUCUGUUCUAUAGAGAUGAUGAAUGUCUACUCAAGGUGAUACCAGUCUGUGAACUGAAAAUGCCCUGCGUACCUUGCACUUGUUUUGGUGUAUAUUGUAGCAGCAGGAGAAAGGUUGUUAUGCUGAAAAAUACGGUCAGAACUAAAUGUUAGGACGUACCUGCUUCUAGCUGUUCUCUUCUGCCCUGGGUGCCUAAAUAUUCCUGGAAAAAUAAUGCAAAAAAAAAAAAAAGCAGCUUGUUAGAUGUUGGCUGGAGGGGCCACAAAGGAACACUUUAUACCUCCUUGCGCUUCUAAGGCUUGUCCUUUCCAAGCUAACUCGAGAUCCCUUCCCUGCCUGACCUCCCAGGAGCCAUACGUGGCUGGCAGCGUGUCAGCCUGUGACACGAUACAAAUACCGAGUGAAUCCCGUGUGCUAAGGCUUCUUCUGUUAAUGAAACACUUCAGGACAAGAUGCUGAGAGUGGGGUAGCACGAGGAAGAAUGCAGGACUGCUAGUGACUGCUAGAUUUAAGGGAUAAGGAAGUUAUCAGAUGUGUGGAGUUGAGUUAAACACUGAGCAGUGCCCACAGCCAAAGAUCAGGGACCAUUGUUUGAAGAAAAGGUUACGUGGGGCUUUUUUCUAGCAGAAAAUGUCCCAGCGAGAAUCCUGCGUUGUGGAAAAGCUCAGGCCAGUUGAAGGCAGCCCUAUCUCACUGACUUAAACUGGGUUGAGCCAGUUUAAGACUUGCAGCUUAACAGUAAAGCACAAACUGCUUGCAAUUAAAGUUGGGGACCAGGUGUCUGACCUACUCCUGACUUUGUUCUGCCAUGGAUCGAUGAGGAAUGCUAAAGCCAGCAAUAUCCCGCAGCUUGUCCUGCUGACUUCAGCCACUGUGAUGCUGUUCUCGGUGAUGAGCCCUGUGCCUGCUGGGUCUCUGGUUGGGAGAGGCUCAGGGGAGGCACGGGACUGCAGGGUGGGCUCACCCCAGGAGCUCCUGGUACCCUGGUCUGCUCUGACUUCUCUACUCCUCCUCCCACUUUGCCUGCUCCACCCUGUAGCUGGGAUUUACACCUCGCAGAGUGCUGCCUUCGUGCCUCCCGGCUUCCUCCUCUAAUCCCUGCCGGCUCCUGGCAGAGCGAGGGGAACGCUGUUUGAGGGCAGAAGCAUAAGCUGGUCAGUCACCCCCAGGGAUGUGCUUCGCUAUCACUGUGCUCAAAAUAAAGGGUAUUUUUUUCGUAGAUGCCUCUCCUGA